rnacentral:pre_miRNA from 14 species
UUUGACUUGCCCUGUAGAUUCGGGCUUUUGUAGUUGGGCAAAUUUCUUUUCAGAAGCUCGUUUCUACAGGCAUGUCAGAA